UAUUAAGUUAUAAUACAUUUAUUGUACAGUUUAAUGGAUGUAGUAAUUAUAGGAAAAUAGGGGACUAACAUAAGGUAUGGAAUGGAGAGGCGAGAUAAUGGCUUUAGUAGAUACACGUAUACCCAAAGAACAGACGUGCAGGAAGUCCCCUCUGGAGCGAUGGCAGAGCAAGAGACUCUCUUGAGAUACCGAUAAAGUAUGCAAGUGGCAGAGCUUGAGCAGCAAUCGGUCCUCUGAAACGCAAGAAUAUGAUAUCUGAAGAAAUAAAUCGAAACGAUCGAAUGAUAA